rnacentral:rRNA from 1 species
GAUGAACGCUAGCGGCAGGCUUAAUACAUGCAAGUCGAGGGACAGCACAGGUAGCAAUACUGGGUGGUAACCGGCAAACGGGUGCGGAACACGUACACAACCUUCCUUUAAGUGGGGGAUAGCCCAGAGAAAUUUGGAUUAAUACCCCGUAAUAUAGUUGAAUGGCAUCAUUUGAUUAUUAUAGCUACGGCGCUUAAUGAUGGGUGUGCGGCUGAUGAGAUAGUUGGCGGGGUAACGGCCCACCAAGUCUACGAUCAGUAGCUGAUGUGAGAGCAUGAUCAGCCACACGGGCACUGAGACACGGGCCCGACUCCUACGGGAGGCAGCAGUAAGGAAUAUUGGUCAAUGGACGCAAGUCUGAACCAGCCAUGCCGCGUGAAGGAAUAAGGUCCUCUGGAUUGUAAACUUCUUUUAUUUGGGACGAAAAAGGGCCUUUCUAGGUCAACUGACGGUACCAGAUGAAUAAGCACCGGCUAACUCCGUGCCAGCCGCCGCCGUAAGAC